rnacentral:rRNA from 1 species
UUCAGCUACAGAAGUAUUAUGGUUGAUGCGUUGGCAAUCAA